UGGGGAAUAUUGCACAAUGGGCGCAAGCCUGAUGCAGCGACGCCGCGUGAGGGAUGGAGGCCUUCGGGUUGUAAACCUCUUUCGCCAGUGAAGCAGGCCUGUCCCUUUUGUGGGUGGGUUGACGGUAGCUGGAUAAGAAGCGCCGGCUAACUACGUGCCAGCAGCCGCGGUAAUACGUAGGGCGCGAGCGUUGUCCGGAAUUAUUGGGCGUAAAGAGCUCGUAGGCGGCUGGUCGCGUCUGUCGUGAAAUCCUCUGACUUAACUGGGGGCUUGCGGUGGGUACGGGCCGGCUUGAGUGCGGUAGGGGAGACUGGAACUCCUGGUGUAGCGGUGGAAUGCGCAGAUAUCAGGAAGAACACCGGUGGCGAAGGCGGGUCUCUGGGCCGUUACUGACGCUGAGGAGCGAAAGCGUGGGGAGCGAACAGGAUUAGAUACCCUGGUAGUCCACGCCGUAAACGUUGGGCACUAGGUGUGGGGGGCCUUUUCCGGGUCUUCCGCGCCGUAGCUAACGCAUUAAGUGCCCCGCCUGGGGAGUACGGCCGCAAGGCUA
rnacentral:rRNA from 1 species